rnacentral:rRNA from 1 species
GACGAACGCUGGCGGCGUGCUUAACACAUGCAAGUCGAACGGAAAGGCCCUGCCUUUGUGGGGUGCUCGAGUGGCGAACGGGUGAGUAACACGUGAGUACCCUGCCCCUGACUUUGGGAUAACUUCAGGAAACUGGGGCUAAUACCGGAUAGGAGCUCCUGCUGCAUGGUGGGGGUUGGAUAGUUUCGGCGGUUGGGGAUGGACUCGCGGCCUAUCAGCUUGUUGGUGGGGUAGUGGCUUACCAAGGCCUUGACGGGUAGCCUGCCUGAGAGGGUGACCUGCCACAUUAGGAUGGAGAUGCGGCCCAGACUACUACGGGAGGCAGCAGUGGGGAAUAGAGUACAAUGGGCGGAAGCCUGAUGCAGCAACGCCGCGUGCGGGAUGACGGCCUGCGGGUUGGAAUCCGCUUUCGCCUGUGACGAAACGUGAGUGACGGUAAUGGGUAAAGAAGCACCGGCUAACUACGUG